rnacentral:rRNA from 1 species
CUCCCACCCGUGUUUAUUUUACCUUGUUGCUUCGGCGGGCCCGCCUUAACUGGCCGCCGGGGGGCUCACGCCCCCGGGCCCGCGCCCGCCGAAGACACCCUCGAACUCUGUCUGAAGAUUGAAGUCUGAGUGAAAAUAUAAAUUAUUUAAAACUUUCAACAACGGAUCUCUUGGUUCCGGCAUCGAUGAAGAACGCAGCGAAAUGCGAUACGUAAUGUGAAUUGCAAAUUCAGUGAAUCAUCGAGUCUUUGAACGCACAUUGCGCCCCCUGGUAUUCCGGGGGGCAUGCCUGUCCGAGCGUCAUUGCUGCCCUCAAGCCCGGCUUGUGUGUUGGGCCCCGUCCUCCGAUCUCCGGGGGACGGGCCCGAAAGGCAGCGGCGGCACCGCGUCCGGUCCUCGAGCGUAUGGGGCUUUGUCACCCGCUCUGUAGGCCCGGCCGGCGCUUGCCGAUCAACCCAAAUUUUUAUCCAGGUUGACCUCGGAUCAGGUAGGGAUACCCGCUGAACUUAAGCAUA